rnacentral:rRNA from 1 species
UACGUAGGUGGCAAGCGUUGUCCGGAUUUAUUGGGUUUAAAGGGUGCGUAGGCGGUCCUUUAAGUCAGUGCUGAAAUAUCCCGGCUUAACCGGGAGGGUGGCAUUGAUACUGCAGGACUUGAGUGAAGUCGAGGUAGGCGGAAUUGACGGUGUAGCGGUGAAAUGCUUAGAUAUGGCACAGAACACCGAUAGUGAAGACAGCUCACGAGGGCGUUAUUGACGCUGAGGCACGAAAGCGUGGGGAUCGAACAGG